rnacentral:lncRNA from 1 species
GACAUGUUUACGCCGGACAGUCAGACAGACGGACAUUUGUAUAUCAUAAUACGUCCCAUCAAAAUUUUGACGGGCGUAUAAAAAAUAUCAGCAGGAUGAGAUCUGCUAUUAAGUCAACAUGUAAACACUGUAAAAAGCUAAAUUUGUUAGCUUCACAUGAACUACAAAUCAGUAAAAAGUCUUAAAUUGUCGGGCUACUCCAUAUACAUAUAUGUAGAUGUUAUUGCCCUUGCUGGAUGAUAUAAAAAAAAAAUCUGAUUUUAUUUUUCCAAAAUACUCUAUGCAUUGUAUCAAAUUGAUUCAAAAAUGAAAGGUGAAAGAUCCAAACUCCUUGGAUCUUCUAGUUACCACUCUUAUUAAGAGUUUUAAGAGUUUUAACUUUCUUUUUCACUAUUUAAGAUUAUAGAGAAGAUGGUUUUCUUUCGAAAC